AUGAAACGAGAUGAAAUGGGGUGAAUUAAAGUCUCAGUAAAAUGGUUGUUAUUUAAAGAGACUCUUGGGAACUUUUUUCAAAAAUCCGAAAAGCAAUGUCCAGCUGUUUUGUUUCAUUUUUUAACUUUAUAGCUGUGCAUUGUCACAAAUGCAAAACAGUUAAAAAACUACCGUUUUACACUUUUUAUCAUAUCUCUUCAGUUUGACGGAAAUUCUAUAAGAGAUGUUUAUAAAUUUAUUAAGCUACCAAUAUUAAAUGAGUAAACUUGAAAAAAAAACAAUAUUAGCUAUUAACCAAAAAGAACAGUCAUUGUAGAUCCCGUGGAUGAUCCGUAGACUACCAGAAAUCCCAUGAUGAUUAUAGGAUGACAAACGAAGAAAUACUUAAAAAGGAUAGAACUUGAUGAGAUACGGGAUUUGGGUAAUAAAAAGUCGAGAAGUAAAUAAUACCAGAAAACCGAAGAUGUCGUCCGCCACACUUGUUCUUCUGAGUAAUAUCAUAGAUAAUGCAUGUAAUGUAAUAUAGUCAGACAAAAUAAUAAGACAAUUUAAGAUUUACUGGCUGUAAAUAUUUUAAGUUACUUUAUUGUUAUUGUUCAUUAAAGUUCAUUACAAAUAAAAUUUUAAAUAUCA